rnacentral:lncRNA from 1 species
UAUAUCAAAUCUUAAAACUUAAGAUUUUACAAGAAGUAAAAAUACUCCUAUGAUGCUUGUAAAAGUACCAAGCAUUUGGUGCUUGUAAGUUUUUUAUCAUUAGAUCUACACAUUUGAUCAUUUUCAAUCGUUAAAUUAUACUAUUCAACCAACCACCCACUCAACCCUAAGGGGUCCACAUCAUUCCAACAACACAUUUCUUAAUUCAAUAGCCAAAAAUCUACAAGCACCAAUAACUUUAUACUUUUAAACGCAUAGGAGCUCAAAUAUAUAUGAAUUAAGCUCUUAUGCUUUUAAAAAUAUAAGUCAUUGGUGCUUAUAAAUUUUUGACCCUUGGAUUGAGAGAUGUGCAAUUAGAA